GAAAGCCAGUCUUGAUUUGAUUGCUGAUUCAUGGAAGGCUUCACCAUCUGAGGUGCCCCAGAAAGCUGAGAGCUUGAGGGUGCUAGAGGAAUUCCAGCAGUGGUGGAGGGAAAUGCCAUUUAGUGAAAGAGUUUCUUGGGCCAUCGGAGGAUUGGUGCUUACAGCAGGCCUAUUGUUUGUAAGCAAACGAAAAAGACAUAACCAGCGCCACAAUGUAGCCGCUCUACGAAUCAGGAAAUUUGAAGCCAAGAAAAGCCAGAAGUCUCCUAAUAGUCCAGGAAGUAGGAAAACCAAGUAAAAGAUGAAUUUCUCUCUUGUACGGGAAAACGUUUAGUUAUGACUAUUUACAGAUGAUGGAUCAAUAUAUUGUUAUAAAGUUUGUGCCUUUUGCUAUUCUUUGAGCUGCGAAUGAUGUAUUAGUUUUAGCAUUCAUUCAGAAGUUACAACCUUGAACCUGCACUUCUCCUCCAUUGCUUACUUCUCAAGCCUUCUAUCGUUGCAACAAACCAAAACUAUCCAACAGUUACGAGGGAAAUAAAUUUGGAAUUUGUACAGAAGUUAGAAUUUGUAAAUGAGGUAUUUGUUGAUUUUCCUCAUGAACUUUAAUUUUAGCCGAUUACCUCCUGAAUUUU